rnacentral:rRNA from 1 species
GACGAACGCUGGCGGCGUGCUUAACACAUGCAAGUCGAACGCUGAAGCUUGGUGCUUGCACUGGGUGGAUGAGUGGCGAACGGGUGAGUAAUACGUGAGUAACCUGCCCUUGACUCUGGGAUAAGCCUGGGAAACUGGGUCUAAUACUGGAUACGACAUGCCACUGCAUGGUGGUGUGUGGAAAGGGUUUUACUGGUUUUGGAUGGGCUCACGGCCUAUCAGCUUGUUGGUGGGGUAAUGGCCUACCAAGGCGACGACGGGUAGCUGGCCUGAGAGGGUGACCGGCCACACUGGGACUGAGACACGGCCCAGACUCCUACGGGAGGCAGCAGUGGGGAAUAUUGCACAAUGGGCGGAAGCCUGAUGCAGCGACGCCGCGUGAGGGAUGACGGCCUUCGGGUUGUAAACCUCUUUCAGCACGGAAGAAGCGAGAGUGACGGUACGUGCAGAAGAAGCGCCGGCUAACUACGUG